rnacentral:rRNA from 1 species
AUUGAACGCUGGCGGCAGGCCUAACACAUGCAAGUCGAGCGCGCGGCGGACGGGUGAGUAAUGUCUGGGAAACUGCCUGAUGGAGGGGGAUAACUACUGGAAACGGUAGCUAAUACCGCAUACCAUCAGAUGUGCCCAGGUGGGAUUAGCGAGUAGUGGGGGUAACGGCUCACCUAGGCGACGAUCCCUAGCGGGUCUGAGAGGAUGACCAGCCAAACGGGAAUGGAGACACGGUCCAGACUCCUACGGGAGGCAGCAGUGGGGAAUAUUGCACAAUGGGCGCAAGCCUGAUGCAGCCAUGCCGCGUGUGUGAAGAAGGCCUUCGGGUUGUAAAGUACUUUCAGCGGGGAGGCGUUACCCGCAGAAGAAGCACCGGCUAACUCCGUGCCAGCAGCCGCGGUAAUUC